GUGGGGAAUUUUCCGCAAUGGGCGAAAGCCUGACGGAGCAAUCUCGCGUGAGGGAUGACGGCCUAUGGGUUGUAAACCUCUUUUUUCAGGGAGGAACAAAAUGACGUGUACCUGAAGAAUAAGCAUCGGCUAACUCCGUGCCAGCAGCCGCGGUAAGACGGAGGAUGCAAGUGUUAUCCGGAAUCACUGGGCGUAAAGCGUCUGUAGGUGGUUUAAUAAGUCAACUGUUAAAUCUUGAAGCUCAACUUCAAAAUCGCAGUCGAAACUAUUAGACUAGAGUAUAGUAGGGGUAAAGGGAAUUUCCAGUGGAGCGGUGAAAUGCGUAGAUAUUGGAAAGAACACCGAUGGCGAAGGCACUUUACUGGGCUAUUACUGACACUCAGAGACGAAAGCUAGGGUAGCAAAUGGGAUUAGAAACCCUGGUAGUCC
rnacentral:rRNA from 1 species